rnacentral:rRNA from 1 species
GAUGAACGCUAGCUACAGGCUUAACACAUGCAAGUCGAGGGGAAGCGGCAUUAAGUGCUUGCACUUUUUGGACGUCGACCGGCGCAUGGGUGAGUAACGCGUAUCCAACCUUCCCAUGACUAAGGGAUAACCUGCCGAAAGGCAGACUAAUACCUUAUGGUCUUCACUGACGGCAUCAGAUGUGAAGUAAAGAUUUAUCGGUUAUGGAUGGGGAUGCGUCUGAUUAGCUUGUUGGCGGGGUAACGGCCCACCAAGGCAACGAUCAGUAGGGGUUCUGAGAGGAAGGUCCCCCACAUUGGAACUGAGACACGGUCCAAACUCCUACGGGAGGCAGCAGUGAGGAAUAUUGGUCAAUGGGCGAGAGCCUGAACCAGCCAAGUAGCGUGCAGGAUGACGGCCCUAUGGGUUGUAAACUGCUUUUGUAUGGGGAUAAAGUCAAUCACGUGUGAUUGUUUGCAGGUACCAUACGAAUAAGGACCGGCUAAUUCCGUG